GAUUUCUGGUACGAUGCGCCUCGCCCGUCCUCGUCAGAGGCACGUGUGCGGGCGUGCGUCUGCCAUCUUUCUAGACUGGGACGCUAACCUUCAUUGGCUUGGCGCUCUCCAUCUAGAUCUUUUACUUUGAAAAAAUUAGAGUGUUUAAAGCAGGCUUUCGCUAUGAAUACAUUAGCAUGGAAUAAUAAUUUAGGACUUUGUUUCUAUUUUGUUGGUUUCUAGAGGCGAAGUAAUGAUUGAUAGGGAUAGUUGGGGGUGCUAGUAUUCAGCGGCCAGAGGUGAAAUUCUUGGAUUCGCUGAAGACUAACUUAUGCGAAAGCAUU
rnacentral:rRNA from 3 species